rnacentral:rRNA from 1 species
GUUAUAGGGUCAAGCGAACAAGUGCAUGUGGUGGAUGCCUUGGCGAUCACAGGCGAUGAAGGACGCGGUAGCCUGCGAAAAGCUUCGGGGAGCUGGCAAACGAGCUUUGAUCCGAAGAUGUCCGAAUGGGAAAACCCACC